rnacentral:lncRNA from 1 species
CUCAAUGGGAAAAACCAGAACUUACACACACGUAACAAACAUGUAAGAACACUUCCCUGGUUACAGUCCAACCACUCCAGUUGGAUUGGUAGCACAGAACACAGCGUAAAAGUAAAGAACUCAGCAAGGAAGGCUUCCAGAAGGAGGUAAGUUUUCAGUCGGUUUUAGAAGAGAGGCGAAGUUUUAGUUUACAUAUGGCUGUCAGAAGGCAGAUGAAAAGAUGAAAGAACUCACACGCCCUCAUGCCAAGACUCAGCAGCUGAAGGGGGCAGCCUUGGAGCAAAUCAAAGCAAUGUCCUUGAUUGAGGAUGAAAGAGAAUUUGGGCCUGGAAUUGGAAAUCUGUGGACACUAAUCUUCAGCUUUGUGCUGACGUCAGAGCCCCCAGGACAUAGUUGUAUCUUCUAGUUGUGAGUGCCUCUGGUUGUGCUAUGUGGGACACCGCCUCAGCAGGGCCUGACGAUAGAUGCCAUAGCCGCGCCCAGGAUCUGAACCAGCGAAACCAGGGGCCACAGAAGCAGAGCACAGGAGCUUAACCACUGGGCCACAAGCCGACCCCUGGAAUUUUUUUUAACAGUCAAAAAAAUUAUGAAAGUAAUAGUUCCUUCGGUUAAAAGUUUAAACAGCAUCAAAGCAUAUAAUGAUCAAAGCAAAAUCUGCCCCCUCUCAACCCCACUUUCCAGGCACAACUGUUAAUUUUUUUGAAGAUUCUUCCUCAAUUAUUUUCUAUUCAUGUAUCUAUGUAUAUAUUUACGCAUAUGUAUAUGUCUUUUACACACAAAUAGGGCAAUGCUAUAUGCACUGGUCUGCAACUUGUUUUUCUCUUUUUUAUUUAAUUUAUCUUACUGAUUUUGAGUAGACAAUACAUUCAAAAGCUUCCUAAAUUUUUUAAGAAACAAUAUGUCUUGAACAUCCUUUCAAAGCAGUAUAUAUUGGUGAAUCUCAUUCCUUUUGAUGGAGGAAUAAUAUUCCAUUGCUUGGGUGUAUCAUAAAUUAUUCAUUGAGUCCUCCUCUGAUGGACUAAAAUGUAAAUCUCUAUAAGAGUAGGUACUUUAUUAACUUGUUGUGGUCAUUACUCACUGCUGUCCCGGAUAAUGAGAAGAAUACGCAGUAAAAUUUGUUUAAUGAGUAAGUGGACAUUUUUCCAGUUUCAAGUAUUUCUCUGCUUCAAAAAUGCUGCCCUGAAUGUCCUUGUGCCUGUACUUUUGAGAAAAGGAUAGUGUAGGAGGAAGUGCAGGUUCAAAGAUGUGUGAAUUUUAAGUUUUGAUAGAUACUGCCAAAUCGGUACUUUUGAUGACAAAUGGAUGCAAAUGUAAUUCUAUCAUUCCCAUACCUGACUGAGCAUCAAAACCAGAAUGUCCCAG